rnacentral:rRNA from 1 species
UACAGAGGGUGCGAGCGUUGUUCGGAAUUACUGGGCGUAAAGCGCGCGCAGGCGGCCACUUAAGUCCGCUGGUGAAAGACCGGGGCUCAACCCCGUGUCAGCCAGGGAUACUGGGUGGCUGGAGACAGGUAGAGGCAAGCGGAAUUCCGGGUGUAGCGGUGGAAUGCGUAGAGAUCCGGAAGAACACCGGAGGCGAAGGCGGCUUGCUGGACCUGGUCUGACGCUGAGGCGCGAAAGCUAGGGGAGCGAACGGG